GAACGAACGCUGGCGGCAGGCUUAACACAUGCAAGUCGAGCGCCCCGCAAGGGGAGCGGCAGACGGGUGAGUAACGCGUGGGAAUCUACCCAUCCCUACGGAACAACUCCGGGAAACUGGAGCUAAUACCGUAUACGCCCUUUGGGGGAAAGAUUUAUCGGGGAUGGAUGAGCCCGCGUUGGAUUAGCUAGUUGGUGGGGUAAAGGCCUACCAAGGCGACGAUCCAUAGCUGGUCUGAGAGGAUGAUCAGCCACAUUGGGACUGAGACACGGCCCAAACUCCUACGGGAGGCAGCAGUGGGGAAUAUUGGACAAUGGGCGCAAGCCUGAUCCAGCCAUGCCGCGUGAGUGAUGAAGGCCUUAGGGUUGUAAAGCUCUUUCACCGGAGAAGAU
rnacentral:rRNA from 1 species